rnacentral:rRNA from 1 species
AUCAAUAAGCGGAGGACAAGAAACCAACCGGGAUUGCCUCAGUAACGGCGAGUGAAGCGGCAACAGCUCAAAUUUGAAAUCUGGCCUGUCGCACAGGCUUGAGUUGUAAUUUGGAGAGGGUGCUUCGGGCAAGGCGCCGGCGUAAGUGCCUAGGAACAGGCCGUCACAGAGGGUGAGAACCCCGUCCGUCGCCGGCGGCCGCGCCCGUCCAGAAGCCCCUUCGACGAGUCGAGUUGUUUGGGAAUGCAGCUCUAAAUGGGUGGUAAAUUCCAUCUAAAGCUAAAUAUUGGCCGGAGACCGAUAGCGCACAAGUAGAGUGAUCGAAAGAUGAAAAGCACUUUGAAAAGAGAGUCAAACAGCACGUGAAAUUGUUGAAAGGGAAGCGCUGGCGACCAGACCGGUGCCGGGGCGAUCACCUGGGGCUCGUCCCUGGGGGCAUUCGCCCCGCGCACCGGCCAGCAUCGAUCCCGACGGCGGGACAAAGGCUUGGGGAAUGUACCCACCGUUUCGAUGGUGGACUUAUAGCUCCAGGUUGUCAUGCGGCCUCCCGGGACUGAGGAACGCGCUUCGGCGAGGAUGAUGGCGUAAUGGUUGUCAGCGACCCGUCUUGAAACACGGACCAAGGAGUCUAACAUCUAUGCGAGUGUUCGGGUGUCAAACCCCUACGCGGAAUGAAAGUGAACGGAGGUAGGAAGGCUUGAGCCUGCACUAUCGACCGAUCCUGAUGUCUUCGGAUGGAUUUGAGUAAGAGCAUAGCUGUUGGGACCCGAAAGAUGGUGAACUAUGCGUGAAUAGGGUGAAGCCAGAGGAAACUCUGGUGGAGGCUCGCAGCGGUUCUGACGUGCAAAUCGAUANUCAAAUUUGCGUAUAGGGGCGAAAGACUAAUCGAACCAUCUGGUAGCUGGUUCCUGCCGAAGUUUCCCUCAGGAUAGCAGUAACGUUUUCAGUUUUAUGAGGUAAAGCGAAUGAUUAGAGGCCUUGGGGUUGAAACAACCUUAACCUAUUCUCAAACUUUAAAUAUGUAAGAAGUCCUUGUUACUCAAUUGAACGUGGACAUUUGAAUGUAUCGUUACUAGUGGGCCAUUUUUGGUAAGCAGAACUGGCGAUGCGGGAUGAACCGAACGCGAGGUUAAGGUGCCGGAAUGCACGCUCAUCAGACACCACAAAAGGUGUCAAUGCAUCUAGACAGCCGGACGGUGGCCAUGGAAGUCGGAAUCCGCUUAGGAGUGUGUAACAACUCACCGGCCGAAUGCAUUGGCCCUGAAAAUGGAUGGCGCUUAAGCGUGCUACCCAUACCUCGCCGUCAGGAUUGACAUGAUGUCCUGACGAGUAGGCAGGCGUGGAGGUCCGUGACGAAGCCUUGGGGGUGACCCCGGGUCGAACGGCCUCUA